CCUACGGGUGGCAGCAGUCGAGAAUCUUUCACAAUGGGGGAAACCCUGAUGGUGCGACGCCGCGUGGGGGAAUGAAGGUCUUCGUAUUGUAAACCCCUGUCAUGUGGGAGCAAAUUAAAAAGCUAGUACCACAAGCGGAAGCGACGGCUAACUCUGCGCCAGCAGCCGCGGUAAUAGAGCGGGCUCAAGCGUUGUUCGGAAUCACUGGGCGUAAAGCGUGCGUAGGCUGUUUCGUAAGUCGUGUGUGAAAGGCGCGGGCUCAACCCGCGGACGGCACAUGAUACUGCGAGACUAGAGUGAUGGAGGGGGAAGCGGAAUUCUCGGUGUAGCAGUGAAAUGCGUAGAUAUCGAGAGGAACACUCGUGGCGAAGGCGGGUUCCUGGACAUUAACUGACGCUGAGGCACGAAGGCCAGGGGAGCGAAAGGGAUUAGAUACCCCAGUAGUC
rnacentral:rRNA from 1 species